rnacentral:lncRNA from 1 species
AAUAGGGGACCUUCCGCUUUAGAUUAGGAGCGAGCAGCGCAUCUCUGGGGAAAAAACAUCAUAGAACAACAUCAGAAACCUUUGUCUUUUGAAGAUAAAAAAUGGGCAACCCUACUUCUUCUUCCUCAUUUUCUAACCUAAAACACACAAGAACAGACUCUUUCCUUCAACACCAAUCCUACUAGCCCGCCUCGCAAUUCUCAUUUGCACCUCACACACACUAAAAUCAUGGAAGAGAAAUCAUCCUCUGAGGAUUAAAAGAAGACAACUAGAGUAGUCAAGACCCGGAGAAAUCUUCAUUGAAGAAAGAAAAGCAAACUGUGUCCGAAUUUCGCUUGGAAGUGGAGUGAUUGAUCUUCAAUUUCUGGGCGUUUUAUGACCCAUUUGAUUUUCUGUAAAUUUGUGAGCUAAUCUCUGGGUUUCGGAGAGUGAUUAAACUCUUAAAUCACUAUCGAGUGUUGCUGAUUCACUAUGUUGCUGAACUCUAGAUUCAUAUUUAUCAUUGUUUCUCUAUAUUCCGCUACAUCAAGGUACUCUUCUCGAUUUUGACCAUGUAACUUGAUUUGGAUAAUUCAUGUUCUAUGAAAAUUAAUUUUGUGAAGUUACAUGUUCUACUCUGUUAAGAGAAUGACUAUUAGCAUCGAUUUGUAUGCCAUGUUUAUGACUAAUUUCAUAGAUACAACAUGAGAUUUUCCUAUACCCUCUCAUAUGCUAUUUUUGUGUUAGUUUGUUUGUUGAACUAAGUGUUUAAAUUCAAAUCAUUCUUUGAAUCAGUUUGUUAAUCAUGGUUUCGAAUACUGUUUAUAACAUCCUUUGUGUUAGCUUGAAGUUCUGAUUUUCACUUAAGGUUGAAAGUUGAAAUUACAAAACCACACAUUAUUAGCUUAGUGGCUAUUGAUAGUAGACCUAUCUACAUGGUGCAGUAGUUGUUGUAUUUUAAGGAACUGAACUUAUUGGUCGCUCCUGAUGAAGAAUCUUUUGUGGCUCUAAUAAUUCUCUUUUUCUCAUUCGGGACUCUGUUGUUACCGAUGAGGUAUUCUCUCAGUUCAAUUCUUUCUGUCGGACGUGGAAAUGGGUAUUCAACCCUGGGAAUAUGAAGCCAUUGUUUCUUAGACUUGAGUCAUUGUUUGGAAUGCUAAUAAUCAUGUAGCCUUGAGAGUUGCUCAAGGGCGUAUAAUUUGUGAUGUCCAUUUCUUCUUGUUCUGAUAAGUGAUAACUUGAUUCUGUUUGAAGAUUUUAUUUCUUCUGCAAGUACAUAUUCUUAGAUGUAGAGAAAAAAGUUGAACUGUUAUUUGUAUUUUAUCAAGCUGAAAAGCUAGGGCAU